rnacentral:rRNA from 1 species
UACGAAGGGGGCUAGCGUUGCUCGGAAUCACUGGGCGUAAAGCGCACGUAGGCGGAUUGUUAAGUCAGGGGUGAAAUCCUGGAGCUCAACUCCAGAACUGCCUUCGAUACUGGCGAUCUCGAGUUCGGGAGAGGUGAGUGGAACUGCGAGUGUAGAGGUGAAAUUCGUAGAUAUUCGCAAGAACACCCGUGGCGAAGGCGGCUCUCUGGGACGGUACUGACGCUGAGACGCGAAAGCGUGGGGAGCGAACAGG